rnacentral:rRNA from 1 species
UACGUAGGGUGCAAGCGUUGUCCGGAAUUAUUGGGCGUAAAGAGCUCGUAGGCGGUCUGUCACGUCGGCUGUGAAAACCCGGGGCUCAACCCCGGGCCUGCAGUCGAUACGGGCAGACUAGAGUGCGGUAGGGGAGACUGGAAUUCCUGGUGUAGCGGUGAAAUGCGCAGAUAUCAGGAGGAACACCGGUGGCGAAGGCGGGUCUCUGGGCCGUAACUGACGCUGAGGAGCGAAAGCAUGGGGAGCGAACAGG